UACGAAGGGUGCAAGCGUUACUCGGAAUUACUGGGCGUAAAGCGUGCGUAGGUGGUUUGUUAAGUCUGAUGUGAAAGCCCUGGGCUCAACCUGGGAAUUGCAUUGGAUACUGGCAGGCUAGAGUGCGGUAGAGGAUGGCGGAAUUCCCGGUGUAGCAGUGAAAUGCGUAGAGAUGUGGAGGAACACCGAUGGCGAAGGCAGCCCCCUGGGAUAACACUGACGCCUCAUGCACGAAAGCGUGGGGAGCAAACAGG
rnacentral:rRNA from 1 species